rnacentral:rRNA from 1 species
CCUACGGUGGGCAGCAGUGGGGGAUAUUGCACAAUGGGGGAAACCCUGAUGCAGCGACGCCGCGUGUGGGAAGACGGUCCUCUGGAUUGUAAACCACUGUCCCCAGGGACGAAGAUGACGGUACCUGGGGAGGAAGCUCCGGCUAACUACGUGCCAGCAGCCGCGGUAAUACGUAGGGAGCGAGCGUUGACCGGAAUUACUGGGUGUAAAGGGAGAGUAGGCGGGACUGCAAGUUGGGUGUCAAAUCUACCGGCUCAACCGGUAGCCGCACUCAAGACUGGAGUUCUUGAGUGAAGUAGAGGCAGGCGGAAUUCCUAGUGUAGCGGUGAAAUGCGUAGAUAUUAGGAGGAACACCAGUGGCGAAGGCGGCCUGCUGGGCUUUUACUGACGCUGAGGCUCGAAAGUGUGGGGAGCAAACAGGAUUAGAUACCCUUGUAGUC